rnacentral:rRNA from 1 species
GGGCUUAAACGAUGAUCACUGAGGUGUUAGGAAGCUUCGACCCCUUCUGCGCCGCCGCUAACGCAUUAAGUGAUCCGCCUGGGGAGUACGGCCGCAAGGUUAAAACUCAAAGGAAUUGACGGGGGCCCGCACAAGCAGUGGAGCAUGUGGUUUAAUUCGAUGCUACGCGAAAAACCUUACCAGGGUUUGACAUCCCGGUGAAAUCCCCUAGAAAUUGGGGACCCCUUCGGGCACCGGUGACAGGUGGUGCAUGGUUGUCGUCAGCUCGUGCCGUGAGGUGUUGGAUUAAGUUCCGCAACGAGCGCAACCCUCGUUGCUAGUUGCCAUCAUUAAGUUGGGCACUCUAGCGAGACUGCCAGCGUCAAGCUGGAGGAAGGUGGGGAUGACGUCAAAUCAUCAUGCCCCUUACACUCUGGGCUACACACGUGCUACAAUGGCCGGUACAACAGGUUGCUACCUCGCGAGAGGAUGCGAAUCCCCAAAGCCGGUCUCAGUUCGGAUUGCAGGCUGCAACUCGCCUGCAUGAAGCUGGAAUUGCUAGUAACCGUGGAUCAGCAUGCCGCGGUGAAUACGUACUCGGGCCUUGUUACACACCGCCCGUCACACCACGAAAAGCUGGAAAACGCCCCGAAGUCCGUUGAGCCAACCGCAAAGAANGCAACCGGCCGAAAGGUUGGAAUUCAGUUGAA